AAAAAAUAACCAUCGUAUUUAUUGAAAUACUAUGGCAUAAUUCUAGACAAAAAAAUAAUAUUUAACAUUUAAAUUACUUUUAGAAAGAUCUUCAACUUUUUGCAAGAGAAAAAAGAAGAGAAAUUAUAAGAAUAACAAUAUUCACUAUGUGCAAAUACAUCCACCUAACAGGCAAUUUGGUGUUCCUCUAACUCGCAUGCACUUAGUAGUAAAACAAUCGAGGAAGGUGGUACAUUUGAAACCUAUGAUACAAAACAAGAAUAAAAGAGUGUUAUUUAAAAUAACUCAAGAAGAAAAACACUUGUAAAUGGUGAGAAGAAAAAAAGCUUACCAUUGGCAUCACUUGAAACAGAAAAUAGUGAAUGUAAAAUGAUCAUAGCAUAAACAAACAUGAAAACUUUAGUCAUUGUUUUCAUUUGUAUGCAAGGAACAAAAAUCAAUUCAAUUACUUUUUUUUUCUUCAUGAGAACUCUAUCACUUUAUAGUAUAAAGAAAUUGCAAGAUACACUUUACAAAUUAAAAAUGUUAUUAAAUAUCUCUUACGUAUAUUGAUGUUGUGUAUUUUCUCAUUUAUCUUGUUCAAUAGAUUAUUACUAUUACGAAUUCAAAUGGACUUUCACUGUGUUGUAAGUAAAUAGCCUUUCAAUUCAAUGAAAUUAAUCAAAU
rnacentral:lncRNA from 1 species